rnacentral:rRNA from 1 species
UACGUAGGGUGUAAGCGUUAAUCGGAAUUACUGGGCGUAAAGCGUGCGCAGGUGGUCUUUUAAGAGAGUUGUGAAAUCCCCGGGCUCAACCUGGGAACUGCAUUUGUGACUGCAAGGCUGGAGUACGUUAGAGGGGGGUGGAAUUCCGCGUGUAGCGGUGAAAUGCGUAGAUAUGCGGAGGAACACCGAAGGCGAAGGCAGCCCCCUGGUACUGUACUGACGCUCAUGCACGAAAGCGUGGGGAGCAAACAGG